GCGGAAGGGAUCAUUAUCGAGU
rnacentral:rRNA from 1 species